CAUGGACUAGAUGAUCGCCUCGUUUUGGAUGCGACUGGUGCGCUUAUUAUUUUAUAUGGGGUUUCGCUCCGCUUGCUAGUUGGUAUAUGGCCGUUCCUGCGUUCUCUCAUCUCUUCCUUCGGUUGGUUCAGCUCAAAUGCAAACAAAUGAAGAUCGUUCCGUACUUGAUAGCCAGGCCAUCAUAGGAUAGAUAUAACGGAGUAAAACUCGAUGGGACCGGUCCCGUUGGAUGAGAUGAUUGCAUCGUUUUGCCCGUUACUAGCAUUUCGUUAGGUCUUGUCUAAAUAAACGCGAUUCAUUGAACGCAAA
rnacentral:sRNA from 1 species